CGGUGUGGUGUAGGUGACUGACUGCCCGAAAUUUCUCAGUCAGGUAUCGGGCAGGGUCAGGUAUCGGGCGGGACGGGCAGGGUCCUUCUCAGCAUAAAAAUUAAAAAGAUCGGGGGUUUGGGCAGCCCGCAAGAGAUAGUAAGGACAAGAUAAUAUUUGGGUUUUAUUUAUAUUUAAAAUGUUAAUGAUUAUGAUUUAUUAAUUACCACUAUC
rnacentral:misc_RNA from 1 species